rnacentral:rRNA from 1 species
CCUACGGGAGGCAGCAGUAGGGAAUCUUUCACAAUGGGCGAAAGCCUGAUGGAGCAACGCCGCGUGCAGGAUGAAGGCCUUCGGGUUGUAAACUGCUUUUAUAAGCGAGAAAUAUGAUGGUAACUUAUGAAUAAGGAUCGGCUCACUACGUGCCAGCAGCCGCGGUCAUACGGAGGAUCCGAGCGUUAUCCGGAUUUAUUGGGGUUAACGGGAGCGUAGAUGGGUUGUUAAGUCAGUUGUGAAAGUUUGCGGCUCAACCGUAAAAUUGAAAUUGAUACUGGCAGUCUUGAGUACAGUUGAGGUAGGCGGAAUUCGUGGUGUAGCGGUGAAAUGCUUAGAUAUCACGAAGAACCCCGAGUGCGAAGGCAGCUUACUAAACUGUGACUGACAUUGAUGCUCGAAAGCGUGGGGAGCAAACAGGAUUAGAUACCCUAGUAGUC